CACGUAGGGGGCAAGCGUUGUCCGGAUUUAUUGGGCGUAAAGAGCUCGUAGGUGGCUGAGUAAGUCGGAUGUUAAAUCCCCAGGCUCAACCUGGGACACCACCCGAUACUGCUCUGGCUAGAGUCCGGUAGGGGAGCGUGGAAUUCCUAGUGUAGCGGUGAAAUGCGCAGAUAUUAGGAGGAACACCAGCGGCGAAGGCGGCGCUCUGGGCCGGUACUGACACUGAGGAGCGAAAGCGUGGGUAGCAAACAGG
rnacentral:ncRNA from 2 species